rnacentral:rRNA from 1 species
UACGUAGGUGGCAAGCGUUGUCCGGAAUUAUUGGGCGUAAAGCGCGCGCAGGCGGUCCUUUAAGUCUGACGUGAAAGCCCACGGCUCAACCGUGGAGGGUCAUUGGAAACUGGGGGACUUGAGUGCAGAAGAGGAAAGCGGAAUUCCACGUGUAGCGGUGAAAUGCGUAGAGAUGUGGAGGAACACCAGUGGCGAAGGCGGCUUCUGGUCUGUAACUGACGCUGAGGUGCGAAAGCGUGGGGAGCAAACAGGAUU